UCUCGUCUGAUCUCGGAAGCUAAGCAGGGCUGGGUUGGGCCUGGUUAGUACUUGGAUGGGA
rnacentral:miRNA from 1 species